rnacentral:lncRNA from 10 species
UAGAGUCGGGGUCUCCCUUUGUUGCCCAGGCUGGUCUCGAACUCCUGGACUCAAGUGAUUCUCCCAAGAUUUCCAAAGAUGGGUAAAUUCACGGCAUGUCUAUGUGCUAAUGAGACUCAUUAAGACAAGAAAGAAAAAAUGGUAGUGCAGGAAAGAGAAGACACAAUUACAGGAGCAGAGCCCCUGAUUACAUGAUGAGGUGGAAUCUAGUGUACGGGGGAAGGUAGGGUGACCAACUCAUCCCCAUUUGUCCAGGACUUGCCCAUUCUUUGUACUGAAAGUCCCACCUCCCAGACAGCCCCUCAGACCCAAGGAAACUGAGAUGAUUGGUCACCCUAGUGGAGGCUCAGCCUUAGAGACCUGGGCUGCAGGGACAGGGGAGGCCGAGCAGAUGACGCAGAUGUGGGUGGGUUGGCCGAUCAGUGACAGGAUGAAAGGUGGUUCCCUUUUGAUGCUUCUACUUUUUUCAGUGAAAUAAACCAUAUAUUAGCUGAUACUAAUGAGCAAGGGGAAAGGAUCUGAGGUUUGAGAAGAGCAGAGAAGGUAGGGGGCACUCGUUUGGAAGAAGGGAGAGGAACUCCCGUGGAGAAAUGUGUGAGGACUUCUAGACAGUGCUGAGCGCCCACCUGAGACUCAUGGUGAGGAGUUGAAAGUGAGGCCAGUCAGCAUGGCUAUGUGCUUUGCUCCAACCAGAUUCACAGGACCAUGGAAGAGGGGACUGCAUUUCUCCAGAGCAGACAACCCUUGGUGGAGAAACUGAGGCCCCACAGAUAAGUAAAUUUCAGAGCUAAAGCAGAGCCUGGGGCCUUGCCUCCCAAUUCAGUGCUUUCUGUCUGUCUAGAAUCAGCACCCAGGCCUCACUGGCACCUCAGCCAAAGGUGUUUCCAUGAUCUUCAGAGGCCCAGCCUGGGUGAGCUGACAGGCUACUCUGGGCAGCAGGGAGGAGGUGACAGAGAAGGAGUUCAGGGAACAGGAAUGUCCAACUAGCAAGUGUCAACCACAAAGCAGAAGGACCUCAGGAACUUCUCCCUGUGGAUAGGAACAGUGGUCUGCCAAGGAAUUUCAUCUUAUGUGCCUAUGAAAGCUUUCAAACAUAUAAUUAUGUAAUUUACUUCUUCGAACUGGUGCAGUUGACGAUGAGAUGGCAGCCUGCUCCAUCUCCGCUGUGCCCCACAGCUUUCCUGGAAUUUUUUUUCUGAACUCUCUAGCACAGGGUUGGCCGUUUCUUGUACAUCUUCUCAGCAAAAAGCGCCCAGAGACCCUAGGAACAUCACAAGAGGGACCUUAGACAAGAGAAUUUUACACUUUACCACAGGGAGCUGUGGGCCACCAUUGAAGAUGUGAUCAUUCAAUCAACAUUGAUUGCCACUGUGCAGGGGGCUGCGGAAAAUACAGGAAAAACCAAAGUUCACAGCUCACCAUGCCAAGGGUAGGGACAGCUGAGGAGGAUCAUCUGGAUCUAUUGAGAACAAAGCACUGGAGAGAGGCUGAAAGUCACCUUACCGGGGCUGGCUGCAACAUCUCGAUCCCUCCACCAAUUCAGCCUGAUCCUCCGAGGCCUAGAACUUGGCUGCCCAUAUUGUGAGUGCACAUGAGCGCUCCUCCAACUGAAAGUUAAUGGUGACCUGUACUCACCUGUCUGCAAUGAUGAAUGCUCCCAGGCCCUACCUGGUGUUGACCCCUCUCUUCUCAGCUGGAUCCCUUCCUGCAAGCUCAGCAUCUGAUAGGACCAAGUCUGAUCAGCAGGUAAGCUCGCUGAGAAUCAGAUACAGUCCCCAUUGCUAUUAGCCCAGCACAGACUCUGGGCUUCCUUCCAGCCUGGAUGAUUCUUUCAUCAGAUAUUUAUUGC